CAGGAUCUCUGGAGGCUGUUUGCAACUGUGGUCACAAAAUUCAAUGUUCUGGGAGAAUUGGAAGCAGCUCAAUUUUUUGGGGGCCCCUUACACAGCUCAAGGUCUGGGCCCCAGGGCCUGACGGUGAGUAUGCCCAUAAGGCCCACUCAUAAGUUCCACCCACCCAUGAGUUCACUCACAGGGAGUGGAGUGUGUAGGGGAUGUGUUAUGUGUUAUUGUAGAG
rnacentral:lncRNA from 1 species